GAUGAACGCUGGCGGCGUGCCUAAUACAUGCAAGUCGAGCGAACAGAUGAGGAGCUUGCUCCUCUGACGUUAGCGGCGGACGGGUGAGUAACACGUGGAUAACCUACCUAUAAGACUGGGAUAACUUCGGGAAACCGGAGCUAAUACCGGAUAAUAUAUUGAACCGCAUGGUUCAAUAGUGAAAGACGGUUUUGCUGUCACUUAUAGAUGGAUCCGCGCCGCAUUAGCUAGUUGGUAAGGUAACGGCUUACCAAGGCAACGAUGCGUAGCCGACCUGGGAGGGUGAUCGGCCACACUGGAACUGAGACACGGUCCAGACUCCUACGGGAGGCAGCAAUAGGGAAUCUUCCGCAAUGGGCGAAGGCCUGACGGAGCAACGCCGCGUGAGUGAUGAAGGUCUUCGGAUCGUAAAACUCUGUUAUUAGGGAAGAACAAAUGUGUAAGUAACUAUGCACGUCUUGACGGUACCUAAUCAGAAAGCCACGGCUAACUACGUG
rnacentral:rRNA from 1 species